GACAGAGGUGGCAAGCGUUGUUCGGAAUCACUGGGCUUAAAGGGCGUGCAGGCGGUGGGGCAAGUCCGGGGUGGAAUCCUAUGGCUUAACCAUAGAAUUGCCUCGGAAACUGCUUCACUUGAGUCAGUGAGAGGAGGGCGGAAUUCCUGGUGUAGCAGUGAAAUGCGUAGAUAUCAGGAGGAAGGCCGGUGGCGAAGGCGGCCCUCUGGCGCUUGACUGACGCUGAGGCGCGAAAGCGUGGGGAG
rnacentral:rRNA from 1 species